rnacentral:rRNA from 1 species
AACGAACGCUGGCGGCAGGCCUAACACAUGCAAGUCGAACGAAGCCUUCGGGCUUAGUGGCGCACGGGUGCGUAACGCGUGGGAAUCUGCCUCUUGCUUCGGAAUAACAGUUAGAAAUGACUGCUAAUACCGGAUGAUGUCUUCGGACCAAAGAUUUAUCGGCAAGAGAUGAGCCCGCGUAGGAUUAGGUAGUUGGUGGGGUAAAGGCCUACCAAGCCGACGAUCCUUAGCUGGUCUGAGAGGAUGAUCAGCCACACUGGGACUGAGACACGGCCCAGACUCCUACGGGAGGCAGCAGUGGGGAAUAUUGGACAAUGGACGCAAGUCUGAUCCAGCAAUGCCGCGUGAGUGAUGAAGGCCUUAGGGUUGUAAAGCUCUUUUACCAGGGAUGAUAAUGACAGUACCUGGAGAAUAAGCUCCGGCUAACUCCGUGCCAGCCGCCGCGGUAAGAC